AACGAACGCUGGUGGCAUGCCUAAUACAUGCAAGUCGAACGAGAAAGCUUCUUCGGAAGUGAUUAAAGUGGCGCACGGGUGAGUAACGCGUAGGUGAUAUGCCUAUUAGUGGGGGACAACAUCGUGAAAACGGUGCUAAUACCGCAUAAGCUUGGUGAAAUUGAAAAAACCAAGGAAAGGGGGCUUCGGCUCUCGCUGAUAGAUUGGCCUGCGUAGCAUUAGCUUGUUGGUGGGGUAAUGGCCUACCAAGGCGACGAUGCUUAACUGGUCUGAGAGGAUGAUCAGUCACACUGGAACUGAGACACGGUCCAG
rnacentral:rRNA from 1 species